GAUGAACGCUGGCGGCGUGCCUAAUACAUGCAAGUCGAACGCACAGCGAAAGGUGCUUGCACCUUUCAAGUGAGUGGCGAACGGGUGAGUAACACGUGGACAACCUGCCUCAAGGCUGGGGAUAACAUUUGGAAACAGAUGCUAAUACCGAAUGAAACUUAGUGUCGCAUGAUACGAAGUUAAAAGGCGCUUUGGCGUCACCUAGAGAUGGAUCCGCGGUGCAUUAGUUAGUUGGUGGGGUAAAGGCCUACCAAGACAAUGAUGCAUAGCCGAGUUGAGAGACUGAUCGGCCACAUUGGGACUGAGACACGGCCCAAACUCCUACGGGAGGCUGCAGUAGGGAAUCUUCCACAAUGGGCGAAAGCCUGAUGGAGCAACGCCGCGUGUGUGAUGAAGGCUUUCGGGUCGUAAAGCACUGUUGUAUGGGAAGAACAGCUAGAAUAGGGAAUGAUUUUAGUUUGACGGUACCAUACCAGAAAGGGACGGCUAAAUACGUGCCAGCAGCCGCGGUAAUACGUAUGUCCCGAGCGUUAUCCGGAUUUAUUGGGCGUAAAGCGAGCGCAGACGGUUGAUUAAGUCUGAUGUGAAAGCCCGGAGCUCAACUCCGGAAUGGCAUUGGAAACUGGUUAACUUGAGUGCAGUAGAGGUAAGUGGAACUCCAUGUGUAGCGGUGGAAUGCGUAGAUAUAUGGAAGAACACCAGUGGCGAAGGCGGCUUACUGGACUGUAACUGACGUUGAGGCUCGAAAGUGUGGGUAGCAAACAGGAUUAGAUACCCUGGUAGUCCACACCGUAAACGAUGAACACUAGGUGUUAGGAGGUUUCCGCCUCUUAGUGCCGAAGCUAACGCAUUAAGUGUUCCGCCUGGGGAGUACGACCGCAAGGUUGAAACUCAAAGGAAUUGACGGGGACCCGCACAAGCGGUGGAGCAUGUGGUUUAAUUCGAAGCAACGCGAAGAACCUUACCAGGUCUUGACAUCCUUUGAAGCUUUUAGAGAUAGAAGUGUUCUCUUCGGAGACAAAGUGACAGGUGGUGCAUGGUCGUCGUCAGCUCGUGUCGUGAGAUGUUGGGUUAAGUCCCGCAACGAGCGCAACCCUUAUUGUUAGUUGCCAGCAUUCAGAUGGGCACUCUAGCGAGACUGCCGGUGACAAACCGGAGGAAGGCGGGGACGACGUCAGAUCAUCAUGCCCCUUAUGACCUGGGCUACACACGUGCUACAAUGGCGUAUACAACGAGUUGCCAACCCGCGAGGGUGAGCUAAUCUCUUAAAGUACGUCUCAGUUCGGAUUGUAGUCUGCAACUCGACUACAUGAAGUCGGAAUCGCUAGUAAUCGCGGAUCAGCACGCCGCGGUGAAUACGUUCCCGGGUCUUGUACACACCGCCCGUCACACCAUGGGAGUUUGUAAUGCCCAAAGCCGGUGGCCUAACCUUUUAGGAAGGAGCCGUCUAAGGCAGGACAGAUGACUGGGGUG
rnacentral:rRNA from 2 species